rnacentral:lncRNA from 1 species
UAACUUUUUAAAAAAAAAACAAUUAUGUAGACUAUCCUAAAUUAAUUAUAUGAACAUUUUAACCUAAAAAUAUUUAAAUUCCGAUAAAUUUUAAAAAAUCACUAAAUCAAUACAUGAAAAUCAUGAUAAACCACAUAAACUUAAAAAAAAGACAAUUAAUAAACUACAUAAACUUAAUACAAUCGAAAACUCAUAGACUACAUAAACUUAAUAAUGAUAUCCACCAUCUUGACUUGGUGGUGGACUUAGGUGAUAGUCGUGCGAUGAAUCAUCAUCUUGAAAUAUACUCCUUGUGGCAUUCCUUCGUAAAAUUUCUUUUUGCUUACCACGUAAGUAUCUCUUCCUCUCUGGAGUGUAUUUGUCGAGGUCCGCCAUUAUCAAAUUAGUUUCGUACCUUUCUUGCUCCCUAUCCCCUUCUUGCUUCAUGGCCAAAAACAUUUGGGCCGAUUCUUCUUGCCGACGACACUGGUUUUCGUUCAUUCUUGCCAUUUUGCUAGCAAAUUGUUCACGUAUCGGAUCUUGGGACUUC